GGUCAAGCGAACAAGUGCAUGUGGUGGAUGCCUUGGCGAUCACAGGCGAUGAAGGACGCGGUAGCCUGCGAAAAGCUUCGGGGAGCUGGCAAACAAGCUUUGAUCCGGAGAUGUCCGAAUGGGGAAACCCGGCCCUUAUGGGUCAUCCCUGACUGAAUACAUAGGUCAGGGAAGCGAACGCGGCGAACUGAAACAUCUAAGUAGCUGCAGGAACAGAAAUCAACCGAGAUUCCCAGAGUAGUGGCGAACGAAAUGGGAAGAGCCUUGUACUCUUUAGCAGUGUUGUUAGCAGAACGGGAUGGAAAGCCCGGCCAUAGCAGGUGAUAGCCCUGUAUGCGAAAACAGCGUUGUGGAACUAGGUGUACGACAAGUAGGGCGGGACACGUGAAAUCCUGUCUGAAGAUGGGGGGACCAUCCUCCAAGGCUAAAUACUCGUGAUCGACCGAUAGUGAACCAGUACCGUGAGGGAAAGGCGAAAAGAACCCCGGGAGGGGAGUGAAAUAGAUCCUGAAACCGCAUGCAUACAAACAGUCGGAGCCUGGAAACGGGUGACGGCGUACCUUUUGUAUAAUGGGUCAGCGACUUACAUUCAGUGGCAAGCUUAACCGAUUAGGGAAGGCGUAGCGAAAGCGAGUCCGAAUAGGGCGUUCAGUCGCUGGGUGUAGACCCGAAACCAGACGAUCUAUCCAUGGCCAGGUUGAAGGUGCGGUAACACGUACUGGAGGACCGAACCCACUAAUGUUGAAAAAUUAGGGGAUGAGCUGUGGAUAGGGGUGAAAGGCUAAACAAGUCUGGAAAUAGCUGGUUCUCUCCGAAAACUAUUUAGGUAGUGCCUCGUGUCUCACCUUCGGGGGUAGAGCACUGUCAUGGUUGGGGGGUCUAUUGCUGAUUACCCCGCCAUAGCAAACUCCGAAUACCGAAGAGUGCAAUCACGGGAGACAGACAUCGGGUGCUAACGUCCGGUGUCAAGAGGGAAACAACCCAGACCGCCAGCUAAGGUCCCUAAGAUUGGCUAAGUGGGAAACGAAGUGGGAAGGCUAAAACAGUCAGGAGGUUGGCUUAGAAGCAGCCAUCCUUUAAAGAAAGCGUAAUAGCUCACUGAUCGAGUCGUCCUGCGCGGAAGAUGUAACGGGGCUAAGCCAGUCACCGAAGCUGCGGAUGCGCAUGGUAGGAGAGCGUUCUGUAAGCCUGUGAAGGUGUCUUGUAAAGGAUGCUGGAGGUAUCAGAAGUGCGAAUGCUGACAUGAGUAGCGAUAAAGGGGGUGAAAAGCCCCCUCGCCGUAAGCCCAAGGUUUCCUACGCAACGUUCAUCGGCGUAGGGUGAGUCGGCCCCUAAGGCGAGGCAGAGAUGCGUAGCUGAUGGGAAGCAGGUUAAUAUUCCUGCACCGUCGUAUGAUGCGAUGGGGGGACGGAUCGCGGAAGGUUGUCCGGGUGUUGGAAGUCCCGGUCCCUGUAUUGGAGAAGGCGCUUAGGCAAAUCCGGGCGCGGAAUUCAAGGAUAUGGGGCGAGCGGCCUAGUGCUGCGAAGCAAUUGGAAGUGGUUCCAAGAAAAGCCUCUAAGCUUCAGUCAUACGAGACCGUACCGCAAACCGACACAGGUGGGCGAGAUGAGUAUUCUAAGGCGCUUGAGAGAACUCGGGAGAAGGAACUCGGCAAAUUGGUACCGUAACUUCGGGAUAAGGUACGCCCUUGUAGCUUGACUGGCCUGCGCCAGGAGGGUGAAGGGGUUGCAAUAAAAUGGUGGCUGCGACUGUUUAAUAAAAACACAGCACUCUGCAAACACGAAAGUGGACGUAUAGGGUGUGACGCCUGCCCGGUGCCGGAAGAUUAAAUGAUGGGGUGCAAGCUCUUGAUUGAAGUCCCGGUAAACGGCGGCCGUAACUAUAACGGUCCUAAGGUAGCGAAAUUCCUUGUCGGGUAAGUUCCGACCUGCACGAAUGGCGUAACGAUGGCCACACUGUCUCCUCCCGAGACUCAGCGAAGUUGAAGUGUUUGUGAUGAUGCAAUCUCCCCGCGGCUAGACGGAAAGACCCCAUGAACCUUUACUGUAGCUUUGCAUUGGACUUUGAACCGAUCUGUGUAGGAUAGGUGGGAGGCUUUGAAGCGUGGACGCCAGUCUGCGUGGAGCCGACCUUGAAAUACCACCCUGGUUUGUUUGAGGUUCUAACCUUGGUCCGUGAAUCCGGAUCGGGGACAGUGCAUGGUAGGCAGUUUGACUGGGGCGGUCUCCUCCCAAAGUGUAACGGAGGAGUUCGAAGGUACGCUUGGUACGGUCGGACAUCGUACCUAAAGUGCAAUGGCAAAAGCGUGCUUAACUGCGAGACCGACAAGUCGAGCAGGUGCGAAAGCAGGACAUAGUGAUCCGGUGGUUCUGAAUGGAAGGGCCAUCGCUCAACGGAUAAAAGGUACUCUGGGGAUAACAGGCUGAUACCGCCCAAGAGUUCAUAUCGACGGCGGUGUUUGGCACCUCGAUGUCGGCUCAUCUCAUCCUGGGGCUGUAGCCGGUCCCAAGGGUAUGGCUGUUCGCCAUUUAAAGAGGUACGUGAGCUGGGUUUAAAACGUCGUGAGACAGUUUGGUCCCUAUCUGCCGUGGGCGUUGGAAUCUUGACGGGGGCUGCUCCUAGUACGAGAGGACCGGAGUGGACGUACCGCUGGUGUACCUGUUGUCUCGCCAGAGGCAUCGCAGGGUAGCUAUGUACGGAAGAGAUAACCGCUGAAAGCAUCUAAGCGGGAAACUCGCCUGAAGAUGAGGAUUCCCUGGAGCCUUGAGCUCCUUGAAGGGUCGUUCGAGACCAGGACGUUGAUAGGCUGGGUGUGGAAGCGCAGUAAUGCGUUAAGCUAACCAGUACUAAUUGCCCGUAAGGCUUGAUCCUAUAAC
rnacentral:rRNA from 1 species